rnacentral:lncRNA from 1 species
UCCCCAGCGUCUGGCAGGACCACACUGAUCUAUCCAUGCUGAGGAGAAUCAUGUUUUUUGCAGUUGUUGGUGCUGGAUAUGCGAGCAAAGAGGAAUUGUGGAAAAGAAGGAAUAAAAGGUGGCACAGCAGAUUGGUGUGACCUCUGCAUGUACAAAGUCCCAAAACCUCCACCCUCAGAACAAAGUCAGUAAAGCUGCAGAGUGAAAUAAAGCAUCAACACAUACACACACACACACACACACACACACACACAGGCACAUACACGCACACACACAUACAUGCACACAUGCGCACACACGCGCACACAUGUGCACACACACACAUACUUGCACACAUGCACACAUGCGCACACACAAGUUAAGUUUCUUU